rnacentral:rRNA from 1 species
AGGACGAACGCUGGCGGCGUGCCUAACACAUGCAAGUCGAACGGGGAUUUGUUCGGCAGAAUCCUAGUGGCCAACGGGUGAGUAACGCGUAGGCAACCUGCCCCCCGGCCGGGGACAACACGCCGAAAGGUGUGCUAAUACCGGAUACGAAGACGGGAUCGCAUGGUUCCGUUUGAAAGAUGGCCUCUGUUUACAAGCUAUCGCCGGGGGAUGGGCCUGCGUCCGAUUAGCUGGUUGGUGGGGUAACGGCCCACCAAGGCGACGAUCGGUAGCCGGUCUGAGAGGUUGAACGGCCACAUUGGGACUGAGAUACGGCCCAGACUCCUACGGGAGGCAGCAGUGGGGAAUAUUGCACAAUGGGGGAAACCCUGAUGCAGCGAUGCCGCGUGGAGGAAGAAGGUUUUCGGAUUGUAAACUCCUGUCUUAAAGGACGAUAAUGACGGUACUUUAGGAGGAAGCUCCGGCUAACUACGUGCCAGCCGCCGC